GAGCGGACACAAUCUGUAGCAUACAGAUGAAGUGUUAGCGGCAGACGGGUGAGUAACACGUAGUCAACCUAUCUUUUCGCCCGGGAUAACUAGCCGAAAGGUUAGCUAAUACCUGAUGCGAUCACCGCACGGCAUCGAGUGGUGAUGAAAGCAGCAAUGCGCGGAUCGAGGGGACUGCGGCCCAUUAGCUUGUUGGUGAGGUAACGGCUCACCAAGGCAACGAUGGGUAGCUGGUCUGAGAGGACGACCAGCCACACUGGGACUGAGACACGGCCCAGACUCCUACGGGAGGCAGCAGUGAGGAAUUUUCCGCAAUGGGGGAAACCCUGACGGAGCGACGCCGCGUGCGGGAGGAAGGUCUUCGGAUCGUAAACCGCUGUCGAGGGGGACGAUUAUGACGGUACCCCUGGAGGAAGCCCCGGCUAACUACGUGCCAGCAGCCGCGGUAAG
rnacentral:rRNA from 1 species